rnacentral:rRNA from 1 species
AUGGUGCGGCGGACAGAAGACCUCACCAAAGAGGACGCCCGGGAGACAAGACCAAGCAAGUUAAUGCACAUACCAAAACUGGCUGGUCAGAAGGAUGCCACCGUUGCCUCUGUCCUCGGAGUGGCAUACUUGUGGGUUGAUUUCCGCGGGGCUCUCUUGGUGAAUCUAGUAGAGUGGAAUGAGAUCAUACUGAGAGUCGCGGGAGUGCAACAAACUCAGGAGCAGGACUCGUUUAGGUUGGAUCUCCACACCACCGGGUGUUUUCUGUAUUUGGCAUUGGUGGAUACGCUGGUCAGUUUUAGAUCAAAAUGGUUAUGGCGUCUAAACUAA